CUAAGAAUCUUCCGCAAUGGGCGCAAGCCUGACGGAGCGACGCCGCGUGGACGAUGAAGGCCGAAAGGUUGUAAAGUCCUUUUCUCUGUGAAGAAUAAGCGGGGGAGGAAAUGCCCCUGUGAUGACGUUAGCGGAGGAAUAAGCCCCGGCUAAUUACGUGCCAGCAGCCGCGGUAAUACGUAAGGGGCGAGCGUUGUUCGGAAUUAUUGGGUGUAAAGGGCGCGUAGGCGGUCUGGCAAGUCUGGUGUUGAAGGCUACGGCUUAACUGUAGUUUGGCGCUGGAAACUGCUGGGCUUGAGUUUAGGAGGGGGAGCUGGAAUUCCAGGUGUAGGGGUGAAAUCUGUAGAUAUCUGGAAGAACACCGGUGGCGAAGGCGAGCUCCUGGCCAUAGACUGACGCUGAGGCGCGAAAGCGUGGGGAGCGAACA
rnacentral:rRNA from 1 species